AAAUAGUCGCUUGUCCUUUA
rnacentral:miRNA from 1 species